rnacentral:rRNA from 1 species
UACGGAGGGGGCUAGCGUUGUUCGGAAUUACUGGGCGUAAAGCGCACGUAGGCGGCUUGGAAGUUAGAAGGGAAAGCCCAGGGCUUAACCCUGGAAUUGCCUUUAAGACUGCAUCGCUAGAAUCGUGGAGAGGUAAGUGGAAUUCCGAGUGUAGAGGUGAAAUUCGUAGAUAUUCGGAAGAACACCAGUGGCGAAGGCGACUUACUGGACACGUAUUGACGCUGAGGUGCGAAAGCGUGGGGAGCAAACAGG